GGACCAGUGGUGCAAUGGAUAACAUGUCUGACUAUGGAUCAGAAGGUUCCAGGUUCAACUCCUGUCUGGCUUG